rnacentral:rRNA from 1 species
CCCUACGUGUCGCAGCAGUGAGGAAUAUUGGUCAAUGGGCGCGAGCCUGAACCAGCCAAGUAGCGUGAAGGAUGACUGCCCUACGGGUUGUAAACUUCUUUUAUAAAGGAAUAAAGUGAGGCACGUGUGCCUUUUUGUAUGUACUUUAUGCAUAAGGAUCGGCUAACUCCGUGCCAGCAGCCGCGGUAAUACGGAGGAUCCGAGCGUUAUCCGGAUUUAUUGGGUUUAAAGGGAGCGUAGAUGGGUUGUUAAGUCAGUUGUGAAAGUUUGCGGCUCAACCGUAAAAUUGCAAUUGCUACUGGCAGUCUUGAGUACAGUUGAGGUAGGCGGAAUUCGUGGUGUAGCGGUGAAAUGCUUAGAUAUCACGAAGAACUCCGAUUGCGAAGGCAGCUUACUAAACUGCCACUGACAUUGAUGCUCGAAAGUGUGGGUAUCAAACAGGAUUAGAUACCCCAGUAGUC